UGGGGAAUAUUGGACAAUGGGGGCAACCCUGAUCCAGCAAUACCGCGUGUGUGAAGAAGGCCUUCGGGUUGUAAAGCACUUUAGGCGGGGAAGAAGGUGGUUAUUUUAAGAGAUAGAUCACUUGACGGUACCCGCAGAAUAAGCACCGGCUAACUCUGUGCCAGCAGCCGCGGUAAUACAGAGGGUGCAAGCGUUAAUCGGAAUUACUGGGCGUAAAGGGCGCGUAGGUGGUUGUUUAAGUGAGGUGUGAAAUCCCCGGGCUUAACCUGGGACGUGCAUCUUAUACUGGGCAACUGGAGUGCAAUAGAGGGUAGUGGAAUUUCCGGUGUAGCGGUGAAAUGCGUAGAUAUCGGAAGGAACACCAGUGGCGAAGGCGGCUACCUGGAUUGACACUGACACUGAGGCGCGAGAGCGUGGGGAGCAAACAGG
rnacentral:rRNA from 1 species